rnacentral:rRNA from 1 species
CAGCAGCCGCGGUAAUACGAGGGGGGCAAGCGUUGUUCGGAAUUAUUGGGCGUAAAGGGUGCGUAGGCGGUUUGGCAAGUUUGGUGUGAAAUCUUCGGGCUCAACUCGAAGUCUGCAUCGAAAACUGCCGGGCUUGAGUAUGGGAGAGGUGAGUGGAAUUUCCGGUGUAGCGUUGAAAUGCGUAGAUAUCGGAAGGAACACCUGUGGCGAAAGCGGCUCACUGGACCAUAACUGACGCUGAUGCACGAAAGCUAGGGGAGCAAACAGGAUUAGAUACCCGAGUAGUCCCUGUCUCUUAUAC